GUGAGCCAAGACUCCGACUUGAAGCUGAAGUAGAUCGCAUACAGAGCCACCGCAAAAAAGUGGCCGAUUAGCGUCAUCGGCUUUGGCGUUAGCCUGUUGAAAGAAACAAACAACACUGAAAAAUGGGCUACAAAAGGGAGCUAAUAAUAUGCAGGCUAGCUAUGCCCGUGUGUACUAUACCGUAUGUCCGGUUUACUUCUGAAAAGUGCUCCGAAUAGCUAAAUUGUGCUUAACGUCAUCGGGUGUACACAAACAGAAAUAGCCUUACACAGACAGCAGUCCGAUGGGGCCGGAAAUGCACUCUCCUCCAAGCUUGAAGUAAUGGAAGCAGGCCUUUCUGAGCUCAUGGAGGGAAUCUGGAAGAUGAAACGGCGAAAGACACCAAGUUCUUCCGAAACUUUGAAAAGCAGCCAUCUGCGACAACGGUCAGAGGAGCCCGAAUUUCCUGAGAGAGAUCAAUCACAACAUUGGCAGGAAAGGGAGACAGCCUGGGGCCUUGGUGACUCUUACUUGGACUCUGCCAGGGCGGCCUGACGCAGCCCCAUGAUGAAGCGGCCGUGGUGGAAGGCGCGGCCGCACUGGACGGCCUCCUCCUCCCGUGGGUAGGGGAUCUCCACCUCCGUGCUGCUCUCCAGGUCAUGGAUUAUGUAGCCCUUCACAAUUGACCCUCCGGCCAUCACGUGCCAGCACCGUGGCAAUGGCGGAACCGAGUACGCCGGCUCCUACAAUGAUGACGUCAGGUUCUGAAGCGACAACGGUGGCCUUGCUCGUACAUGAAGAAUUCUGCAGGUCCAACCUUUUCCUUUGACUUGAUUCCUUAAAUCGGAAGAACAAAAGUUGUUUGACGAAAGCGUUAAGAUAGAAUCUGAGCCUGGUGUUGUAGGACUAUGCUAAUUAUGUAGGUUGUAAACAUGACAAUGUUAUCUACUCCUAAUUAAAGUCUACAUAAUGUUUCAUAUUUAAAAAUCUGUAUCUUAAAGUGAAAUCUUGGAAAUGACUCUAGAAUUUCAGCCUUUCGUGAAUAAAGCUGUAGUAUAUGCUAAAUCAUCAAUCAAUAUAAUAACAACAUGUAUAAAUGGAUAAAUAGAA